rnacentral:tRNA from 1 species
GCCCGGGUGGUGGAAUUGGCAUACACGCAGAGUUUAAGCCUCUGUGCCUUACGGCUUGCGGGUUCAAAUCCCGCCCCGGGUA